AGUGAACGCUGGCGGUAGGACUAACACAUGCAAGUCGAACGGCAGCACAGUAAGAGCUUGCUCUUACGGGUGGCGAGUGGCGGACGGGUGAGGAAUACAUCGGAAUCUACUUUUUCGUGGGGGAUAACGUAGGGAAACUUACGCUAAUACCGCAUACGACCUACGGGUGAAAGCAGGGGAUCUUCGGACCUUGCGCGAUUGAAUGAGCCGAUGUCGGAUUAGCUAGUUGGCGGGGUAAAGGCCCACCAAGGCGACGAUCCGUAGCUGGUCUGAGAGGAUGAUCAGCCACACUGGAACUGAGACACGGUCCGGACUCCUACGGGAGGCAGCAGUGGGGAAUAUUGGACAAUGGGCGCAAGCCUGAUCCAGCCAUACCGCGUGGGUGAAGAAGGCCUUCGGGUUGUAAAGCCCUUUUGUUGGGAAAGAAAAGCAGCAGGUUAAUACCCCGCUGUUCUGACGGUACCCAAAGAAUAAGCACCGGCUAACUUCGUG
rnacentral:rRNA from 1 species